rnacentral:ncRNA from 1 species
GUUUCAGGGCGGGGUGAAAUUCCCCACCGGCGGUAAAGCCCGCGACCAACUGUGUUUCAGUUGCUGAUUCGGUGAAAUUCCGAAGCCGACGGUAAAGUCCGGAUGGAAGAAA